UCCCUCCGUCCCGUUAUUAACGGCACGUUUCUUUUCGGCACGGAGAUUAAGGAGUAGAAAAUUAGGGAAUAAAGGUGUAUGAUCCACAUGAUUAGAAUUGUGUUUAGGGAUUGUUUAUUAUUUCUAAUUUAUCAAUAUAUAAAAACAUUUAUUUCUUGAUUCAUUAAAUAAAUUUAAAAUCUGUAUUUAAUUAAUCAUUUGUUAACAUUAACAUUAAUUUCACAAAUUCACGCACUGGGAAUUAGGAAGAACAUGAACUGGGGUGAAAAAUAAAAAAUCCAUGAAUUGGGUGAAAUUCACCAAAUCAAUACAAAACAGAAUCGAAAUACCAUAACAAAAUUCACCAAACAACAACAAAGAUCCUAAAAAUCAACAAAUAUUCACAAUUCAUGAAAUUCAGGAAAUCAACAAAAAUCAAAAAUCAAAAUUCAGGCGCAGAGAUAUGGAGGCGCGAAGUGGAAGUGGAAGAGACGCCGCAGAUCGGCGGAAGUAGAGGAGCCGUAGAUCUGGCGGAGGUGGAGAGAUGCCGCCGCACCUAUCGCCACGCCUGAAACCCCUUUCCGUCCUGCUCUCUAUUUCUCUCCUGCUCUGUCAAGCAACGAGACGGUGGGUGGAAGCGGCGAGACUGGAUGGCGGAGGUCGGCGGCGACACGAGGGCGACCGAGAAUCUGGGGCGACACGAGGACGCCAGAGCCAGGGGUGUGAGGGAGCUCAGUGGUGACCGAGAAUCUGGGGUGGUGGAGGGCACGAGGGCGGUGGUGGCAGCAGAUCGACGGCAAGCAGAUUGAGGCGGCGGUGGGGUGGUGGAGAAAAGGGUCGAGAUGGAGAAAGCGGCAAGGCCAAGCAGAGAAGGGAAGGCGACGAGCAGAUUUUGUGGGAGAGAGGCAGCAGGCGGUGGAGGAUGGCGGCGGCGCUAGGCAGUGGAGACGGCGGAGGGUGGUGGCGGAGCUAGGCAGUGGAGGCGGCGCUAGGGUUUGGUGGUGGAGGGAUGAAGAAGAGGAUAGAGAGAGAGAGAUGGAAGGAGCGUGCGUGAGUUU